GCGUCCGUGGUGUGGUGGUCUGCAUAUCGGAUUGUGGUUCCGAUGGUCCUCGGUUCGAUUCCGGGCGGGCGCC
rnacentral:tRNA from 1 species